rnacentral:lncRNA from 1 species
UCUUUUUUACAUUGACUUUUCCGAUACCCAUUCAUUCAUGUUAGCAAACGAAAGAGGGUUCCGCAUUAAGCUCUUAGCUCCUUCUGAACAUAACGAAGGUGAUUUUGUAACAAAGGUGUUCAGGUCCAAAUAGAUCCAUGGAUAACAUGCUCAAGGAUUUGAGAGCACUAAAGCAAGAGAUUCUUAGGGAAUUGGAUGAAGCUGAUUGGUAGCUGUCGGAUUAGUUUCAAUCCAGACCACUCACUCUUGUAUAUAAAUUAGGGUUUUUGGGCUAAUUGAUAUGCACAUUUCUGUAUUCCCUUUCUAUAUUCCAUGCACUCACAUAUACGGCAGAUCUAUAGGUAUGUAUGUGGGUAGAUGUUCUAAAGUUUCUAAUGGAAAAUCUCAAGUUAAAGCCAAUAGUACAAUAGGGAAUCUUGAAGAUAAACAUGAAUAGGAUUGCAAGGGCAGUUUGGUUAUGUAGAUCCAACAUGGAGGAAGCAUAGAAAGUCUAGAUUCACAAGUUUAAUGAUCAAUACUUGAAUCCAGAUCCAUAGCAUCUUUUGAGAAUGGAGAAAUUAAGGAAUAAGAAGCUGGAUCCUUCCAUCAUAAGGCCUUAUGCAGUGGUGGGACAAAGCCCAAGCCAGGAGGGAAAGGAAUCAAAUUGUGGAGAGGCAAAGACACCAAACUAUAUGGUUCUUUUUUCUUCAAAGUUUUCUGCUAGAACAAAUAUCAUUAAUCAUGGCAGGAAGCUUUAGAUGUCCAACAAUCACAUCCUUUUGGUGACGAAAACCUGCAAAUGGCUCUGUGGAAUGGACUUUAACUCAAAGCAGAGAGAGAGUGGCUAGACAAUGUUCUCCUGGAUGCACAGAGGUAUGAUGAUGAUGACCAUUUCCAGUUUAUAAUCUAAAGGCUUUUACCUUGGUUUAGGAUCAACAUAAAGCUCAUAGUUUGUGGAAAUCACCCAAUUGUCACUAGCUUCUCACACCAAAGCAUUUGGCCUGGAACCAUCAACAGGUUAGCCAAAAAGAUUGCAAAUCUUCUAUCAUCUUUUUUGUCUAUGAGGUUGUGCUAUAUAUUUGUGGUAAGAAUAAGAACUUUACACAUAUCUUCUUUGUAAUUCCCUCUUGUUUUUCUUUUGUAGGGCAUUAUCAUUCCAGAGGCUAUGCACGUAUCGAUAGAAAGCAUUUUGUGAUGCUAGAAGCCAUUCUUGAAGCACUAGAGAGAUGGUGCGUGGCUUGCUGAAAAUUCACAAUGGCUGGAUUUAAAUACAAGGAUAUGCAGUGUCAUUAAUAGAAGUCUUUGCUCAUCUGCGAUAAUUUUUGUCAUAACAUUAAAUACUAAACGUUUACUUUUUUAUAUUAAUUUAUAGAUGCAUAUCCCAGAUUUGAUGCGCUAAACAACAACUUCGAUGACACCUUCGCAUCUUUUUUACAUUGACUUUUCCGAUACCCAUUCAUUCAUGUUAGCAAACAAAAGAGGGUUCCGCAUUAAGCUCUUAGCUCCUUCUGAACAUAACGAAGGUGAUUUUGUAACAAAGGUGUGCAGGUCCAAAUAGAUCCAUGGAUAACAUGCUCAAGGAUUUGAGAGCACUAAAGCAAGAGAUUCUUAGGGAAUUGGAUGAAGCUGAUGGAGCUGAUCGAAUUUCACUACUAAUGAAUUUGGUAAAGGUGAAUUCCAUGAUUGUGGAGGCAGAACAGGCCCAGAAAAAUGCUGCAGCUGAGAAGAAGAAGGCUCGUAAAAAGCGUUUUCUCAAAGUAUUAUCUGGUGUUAAUGAUAUGUGCUUGAAAGGAGCAAAUAGUCUGGACAGUGGGUUUACCAGUUUGGUGUUUAAGAGUGUGUGAAAUUGUGUCUUGAGCUUUUCCAUCAUAGUUUGCUUAAGAAUGUGUG